rnacentral:rRNA from 1 species
AAGUCGUAACAAGGUUUCCGUAGGUGAACCUGCGGAAGGAUCAUUAUAGAUUGGCCGAAAGGCCGUGUCUUCAUCCACACACACCGUGAACAAACCAAGGUCUGGCAGUACGUGAACGCGAGUUUGCAUGCCAGGCCCCAACACAAACAAAAUGUAAAGAAUGUAAACUAUUGUAACAAAAACAAAACUUUCAACAACGGAUCUCUUGGCUCUCGCAUCGAUGAAGAACGCAGCGAAAUGCGAUAAGUAAUGUGAAUUGCAGAAUUCAGUGAAUCAUCGAAUCUUUGAACGCACCUUGCGCCUCUUGGUAUUCCGAGAGGCAUGCCUGUUUGAGUGUCUUAUAAAAUCAAUCCCCACGGGUUUCUUGACCUGGCGGUGGACUUGGAGUUGGGCGUCUGCCGGUCACACGGCUCGCCUUAAAGACCUUAGUGGGAUCAUCGGCCUAUGGCUUGACGUAAUAAGUUUCGUCUCGUCCGGCCCCUCGAGCCCGCUCACAACCCGCCCUCGGGCAACUACUUUAUGCUAGACCUCAAAUCAGGUAGGACUACCCGCUGAACUUAA